UUUAAAAGAAAACGGUCAGUAUCUGCGCUAAUCCUGAACUCUGACCGGAAAAACUGGGUUAGGCGGUCAGUGUAACGCAGAUUAGCAUAAAGCUAACAAGAGGCAAAACAACGCCAGUGAAUCUCCAUUCAACAUAAAGAUAGCGGAAUUCCACCUCAUCCUCGACGCAUCGCUCCUUCAGAGCCCGGAGGAUCUGAACUUGAGGAUACUCCUGGCUGAUGCGCCGGUCGGUUACGAACCACACCCGGGAGCACAUUUCUAAUAUGAUUGUUAAAACAGGUUACCCCAGUUACAGCAAGACCAACGGACUGGAAUUACCUAAGAAAUACAAUCUGUAAACAAACCGCUGAAAUUCUUCUGCUCCAAGGUUCGUUUUAUAGAGUCAUUAUAAAAAAA